CCCCGGAAAUAUAGCGACAGCUUCAGCUUUCAGUGUGAGGGAGCCGAGGGCCCAGCCAAACCCUGCGGGGGGGCAAUUCCUGGGUACCCUUCCCAUAUUUUCGGUCUUUGGGCUGCGCUGUGGUAACCCCAGAGCCUGGUUGCGUGCUCACCAGCGACAAGUGUCUUUGCAUUGGGACAUGAAAGGGGACUGGGAAGUGCCGUGCAGUUUCAGGGUAGUUUCUGGUUAAUUACAUUUUCAUGGGUUUUCGCAGAGUCUGGGGGCAAUUUGUGUCCUCCAGAGACCAGGGACCAGGGCCGAAGCUACGGCAGGGGAGACGCGGCCAGGGCUGUGGCUUCUCGUGCGAGCUCGGUUUGCGUCCGUUCCCGUCUGGCGCCCGGGCCUCUGGGAGCCCAGGGCCUUGAAUGAGACAGUGCUCGCCCUUGAAAAAGCAGUUCUAGGUCACUCGGCCUGCUUUGCCAGCAUUCCAGGCCCCAGCUCACCUUCCGCCAUCCAUGUUGACAACACCAGUUCUACGACGAAGCGGGCGAUUCCUCUUGCCUGGAAUUUCACUCGUCCCCGGUAUCGAACCCCCGCCCCAAUUUUCUACGUUACAACUCCAGCGUAUUUUUAACGGCGCAGCCAAUAUCACCUCGUUGGUAUAAAGCCUGCGCUGUCCUGGACCUUCUUAGGAAUGCAGGCUUAGGAACAGGAGCUAUGCCGUUUUAUUAUUUUUCUUUCUUUUAGAGAUGGGGUCUCGCUGUGUCGCCCAGGCUAGAGUGCAGUGGCGGGAUCAUAGCUUACUGCAGGCUGGGGUCAAGCAGUCCUCCCGCCUCAGCCUCCUGAGUGUAUGGGAUUAUAGGCUCAGGCCUCUAUGCCAUUGUAAAUCCUGUGGAUUUUGAGUAUUUGACCUCUAUGAGCCUCAGUUUUCAUCAACAUUGAGAUGAUACUAGUACCUCAUAAGGUUAUGUGACGAUUAAAUGGAAAGCUCUUACAAUAUAAGUGCUUAAUAAGUAUGUUAUCAUAUGUGCUUCCAAAGUACUUUGUGUAGGCCUUUUAUAACGCUUGCGCUUUCUAUUACCAUUAUUUGUUCUUGUCUGCCCUGCUAGACUGAGAUUCUCAAAAGCUGGAACUGUCUUGUUUGUAAUCUCAGCGUCUGUCAGUGCUGGGCAAAUGUAAAGCUAAGAAAUUAUUUCUUAGAAAACUUUUUAAAAGCAGUCUUUCUUCUCCUUUCCCUUUCUUCCUUUCCUUCACUUUUUCCUCUUUGAGAUAGGAAUUUUCAAACCUAGAGAAGAAGCUGAGACCCUAGGGGGAAAGAUUGGGACCGUUUUGUUGUUGUUGUUCUCAGUGGUGACCAAAAGAGCCUUAACAUUCACCCCAGUCUGACAACUUUAGACAGGUUUCUUCUGGACGUUAGGCCCCUGACCUCCCCUUUCUUUGAGUGUUUACUUUAGAAAACUUGUGAUCGCAAAAUUCUUCUCUGCUCCUUUGAAAUGUGUAUAAAUCUCCUUAGAAGCUUACGCUAGUUUUACGACCUAAGGAAUGUCUUUCUCAAGGACCUGUGAGCCAUCGUUUGAAAUGUAAUCAUCAAGGAAGAUAGCACCCCUAUCUCUCAGUCUCUGUGGGAGGGUGGGAGCCUAACCUCCUGUGUGUGCCUUGUUUGGAAUUGUAAAACUCCAGCUUGUUUUGAAGAUACAAGAAAGUUUCCUUUUCCUUUGCAAUUAGCAAACACAGAUGUCAUGUGAUUUCCCGUACAGCAGCUCUUAAAAACUUCCCAGACCCUUGUUUCAGUAGUGUUGAGUUUAAUCUCGUAUUGCAGUAGUCUUAAGGUCUUUCUUGCCUGUUUAACUUUGAUGCAAAUUUUGACAAUGGAAAUUUUAGGUUCUGCAUUUAUUGUUUCUUCCCAAUUACAGUGGUUUCUCCUUUCUCCUUGUUAAGAAGAGCUUCUCACAUCCUCUGAUUUCUGGAGAAAUCAAUUUGGACUCAAAAGAUUGGAGUUUUGUGGAGUGAAGCUACUGUUUUUGUUUUGUUUUGUUUUGUUUUGCUUGAGAUAGAGUCUCACUCUGUCACCCAGGCUGGAGUGCAGUGGUGCAAUCAUGGCUCACUGCAGCCUCCGCCUCCUGGGUUCAAGUGAUCCUCCUGCCUCAGCCUCUCAACUAGCUAGAAUUACAAGCAUGUGCCACCACUUGAACUCCUGGCCUCAAGUAAUCUGCCCACCUUGGCCUCCCACAGUGCUGGAAUCACAGGCGUGAGCCACCACGCCCUGCCAGAAGCUACUGUUUUAAGUCAUCAUUGCAAAGGGUAGUGUGUGAUGUGCAGGAGUGGAAAGGGCAGUACAUCUAUUUGAGAGCAUCCCAAAUGAGGUCCAUUCAUAUUAUGGAAGUGCACUGGGAAAUAAAGAACAGGCCUACCCCCUUGUUUAUUUAUUAUGAAGGGGUAUGAGAAAAAUGCAAUUUUCAAAGAAAGGGAACUGCUGAGAAUGUAGUACCUUCUCAAAGAAAGCUAUGUUUGGUUAAGGUGAGAAGCUAGAGGAAGCCACAGAGGGCAGGGUUACAAAUUGAAAGACUUCUGCAGUGGUGGAGGUAGUAUGCCAAAGGGUUCCUUAAAAUACAGGGAUCCGUGUAAGAUGAGGAGGUAAGGUGGAGUAGGAUUGAGGUGGAAUGAAAUGAAAGAUGGAAGAGAAAAAGGAAGGCAGUAGGGGGAGAGGGGAGUUAAUUUGGGGUAUGGGUAACAGGGAAGGAAAUAGGUAACCUGAGAAGCUUGGUAGAGGCACGUGCCACUUGCAUGGGAAGGGAAAUAUCAUGCAGACGGUCCUGUUGCUAAAGGAAGCUAGAGGAUUUAGAAGAAGGGGUUUGGCACACUGGCCUCUAUCACCCAUCCGUCCCCAACAACACACAACACAGACAAAUUGAGUGCACUGUUGACAUUUAGCAUCAUUCUGCCCCCAUGACUGGUGGAAGCUAAGAAGAUGAAGUUCAGGGUGCUGAUCUUUUUUUUUUUUUUCUAACUGACUUUUCUUAUGUGAAUACUUACCCCUAGUUCCCUUUUUCUUCCCUUCCCUUCCCUUCCCUUCCCUCCCUCCCUCCCUUCCUUCUUCUUCUUCUUCAUUUUUUUUUUUUUUAAAUGAGACAGAGUCUUGCUGUAUUGCUCAGGCUGGAGUGCAGCAGUGCUAUCAUUGCUCAUGCAGCCUUAACCUCCCAGGCUCAAGCAGUCCUCCUACCUCAGCCUCCUCAGUAGCUGGGGCUACAGGCAUGUGCCAUCACACCCAGUUAAUUUUUAAAUUUUUGUAGAGAUGGCUCUCCCUGUGUUGCCAGGCAGGUCUCAAACUCCAUCCUCAGCCUCCCAAAGUGCUGAGAUUACAGUCAUGAGCCACUGCACCCAGCCCUUUUUUUCUUGCUUCUUUACCUACUUUUCAUAGGAAUUGGGUAGACGAGGGUAGACCCAGGAAGUGAGAGUGGAAUUUGAGAAAGAAAAACAGUAAAAUGAAAAGCUGAAAAAUAAAAGAGUUUAUUUCUAAAUGUAUGUACGAAACUCAGGUUGGGGGACUAGCAUGUAAAGGUAUAUACAAAUAAAAUGGAGUUAAGUG
rnacentral:lncRNA from 1 species